CCAAUAGCGUAUAUUAAAGUUGUUGCAGUUAAAAAGCUCGUAGUUGAAUUUCGGGGUUAGUAGGUUGGUCGUGCCUUUGGUAUGUACUGGUCUCACUGACUCCUCCUUCUUGAAGAACUGUAAUGUCAUUAAUUUGGUGUUGCAGGGAAACAGGACUGUUACUUUGAAAAAAUUAGAGUGUUUAAAGCAGGCUAACGCCUGAAUACAUUAGCAUGGAAUAAUGAAAUAGGACGUUUGAUCCUAUUUUGUUGGUUUCUAGGAUUGACGUAAUGAUUAAUAGGGAUAGUUGGGGGCAUUAGUAUUCAAUUGUCAGAGGUGAAAUUCUUGGAUUUAUUGAAGACUAACUACUGCGAAAGCAUUUGCCAAGGAUGUUUUCAUUAAUCAAGAACGAAAGUUAGGGGAUCGAAGACGAUCAGAUACCGUCGUAGUCUUAACCAUAAACUAUGCCGACUAGGGAUCGGAUGAUGUUAAUUUUUUAAUGACUCAUUCGGCGCCUUACG
rnacentral:rRNA from 1 species